AACGAACGCUGGCGGCAUGCCUAACACAUGCAAGUCGAACGAGACCUUCGGGACUAGAGGCGCACGGGUGCGGAACGCGUGGGAAGCAGCUAUUCGGCUCCAAAUAACUCCCUGACAGGGCGGCUAAUGCCGGAUAAUGGCAUAGGACGAAAGAUUUAUCGCCUUUGGUUGGGCGUGCGUGGGUUUAGCUAGUUGGUAGGGUAACAGCCCACCAAGGCGGAGAUGCAUAGCUGGUCUGGGAACAUGAUCAGCCACACUGGGACUGGCACCAGGCCCGGACGCCGACGGGUGGAAGCAGUGGGGACUAUGCGACGAUGCGCGAGAGACUAAUCCAGCAGUGCCGCGUGGGUGAUGAAGACGUUAGGAUUGUCAUCCUCUUUUACCCGGGUUGAUAAUGACAGUACCGUGAAAAUAAGCUCCGGCUAACUCCGUG
rnacentral:rRNA from 1 species